rnacentral:misc_RNA from 1 species
UACGGAGGAUCCAAGCGUUAUCCGGAACCAUUGGGGUUAAAGGGUCCGUAGGCGGGUCAAUCAGUCAGUGGUGAAAGUCUGCAGCUCAACUGUAGAAUUGCCAUUGAUAAUGUUAAUCUUGAGUAAUUAUGAAGUGGUUAGAAUAUGUAGUGUAGCGGUGAAAUGCAUAGAUAUUACACAGAAUACCGAUUGCGAAGGCAGAUCACUAAUAAUUCCCUGACGCUGAGGGACGAAAGCGUAGGUAGCGAACAGG